AUAUAUUUUUUUUUAAGAAUAUUUUUAGCUGUAGGUGGACACAAUACCUUUAUUUACUUGUUUAUUUUUUUAAAUGUGGUGCUGAGUCUCGAACUCAGUGCCUCACGUGUGAGGCAAGUGCUCUAUCACUGAGCCACAACCCCAGUCUCUGGGUUUAGAUUUUUAAGGAAAGCUGUAUGUAAGAGUAUGGAACAAUUUCACCAGCCAACAUCCCAGAUGCUAGCCAAGGGCCAGCCUUGGAAGUGGACCUUUCUAAGGGCGGAAAUCUCAGGCCUGCUGUGUGAACUUUAUUUACAGGUUUAUUUGUCACUGUUUCCAACAGUGUUUCAUUUACCUGUUUAUAUCUCGUUUCACCUGUAUUGGUUUUCUUUUUUAUUGGGGGAUGGGGUACCAGGGAUUGAACUCAGGGGCAUUUGACCACUGAGCCACAUCCCCAGCCCUAUUUUGUAUUUUAUUUAGAAACAGGUCUCACUGAGUUGCUUAAUGCCUCAUUUUUUGCUGAAGCUGGCUUUGAACUCACCAUCCUCCUGUCUCAGUCUCCCAAGCUGCUGGGAUUACAGGCAUGCACCACCAUGCCUGGCACUGUAUUGGUAUUUCUGUUGGAUGAAUCUGCAUGUGAAUCUGCUGGGUUAAACUGUACGUAUAAAAUUUUGUUAAUUGCCAAAUUUUUCUCUAAAAGAACUGUCAGUCUGCAUUCCUAUAGUAUUUGCAAAUUACUCCCAUUUUCAAUUUUUAUGAUUGUCAAUUGAAUACACCUUGAAGCUUAGCAGAACUAUAGGUAAGAGUAACAAAAUUGUGUUAAGCGAGUUAUUACAUAGUAUAUCUGACAGUGCAGUGGUUAAGCUAGAGAAUUUUGUUGUGUAUACUUUGAAGAUAAAGUAUGAUUCACUUGAUAGAUUUACUUUAAGUGUGAAUGAAAGUGGAGUUUAUUGAACAGUAAAU
rnacentral:lncRNA from 1 species